rnacentral:rRNA from 1 species
AGAGUUUGAUCAUGGCUCAGAACGAACGCUGGCGGCAGGCUUAACACAUGCAAGUCGAACGCCCCGCAAGGGGAGUGGCAGACGGGUGAGUAACACGUGGGAACGUGCCCUAAGGUACGGAACAACUCCGGGAAACUGGAGCUAAUACCGUAUGUGCCCGAAAGGGGAAAGAUUUAUCGCCUUAGGAUCGGCCCGCGUCU